UACGAAGGGGGCUAGCGUUGCUCGGAAUCACUGGGCGUAAAGCGCACGUAGGCGGCUUUCUAAGUCAGGGGUGAAAUCCUGGAGCUCAACUCCAGAACUGCCUCUGAUACUGGUUGGCUUGAAUCCGGGAGAGGGAUGUGGAAUUCCAGGUGUAGCGGUGAAAUGCGUAGAUAUCUGGAGGAACACCGGUGGCGAAGGCGGCAUCCUGGACCGGUAUUGACGCUGAGGAGCGAAAGCCAGGGGAGCAAACGGG
rnacentral:rRNA from 1 species